AUGGGACGAAGUCGAGGCCGACCACCAAAGAAAAAGGCGACAACGACAACCCCGACGGUGGUAAGAGUUUUCACACCACUGGCCAUUGCUCACAUAGAGGAUCUACACAAAAUCAUGACAGAAGCGGAAUCAAGCAAGAAGGGAGUAGAAGCUGAAGAGGAGACAAAGGAAAAUCAGAAGCUGGAAACGAUUGUUGAGGAAGUGCAGGAUCAAACACGGCCUUGGGUGGACAUCAUAAAAGGCAACAUAUUAGCUUCUAAUGGUAGCAAAAUGGAAUAUACUGCACCUUCGAUUGUUAAUGGAGAGAUAUAA